rnacentral:misc_RNA from 1 species
AACGCACAUUGCGCCCCCUGGCAUUCCGGGGGGCAUGCCUGUCCGAGCGUCAUUUCUGCCCUCAAGCCCGGCUUGUGUGUUGGGCGUGGUCCCUCCGGGGACCUGCCCGAAAGGCAGCGGCGACGUCCGUCUGGUCCUCGAGCGUAUGGGGCUCUGUCACUCGCUCGGGAAGGACCUGCGGGGGUUGGUCACCACCACACGAUACCACGGUUGACCUCGGAUCAGGUAGGAGUUACCCGCUGAACUUAA